GCUGGGUCGAAUUUCAUGAUUAUUACGCUUUGUUCCCUGUUCUUCAAGAUAUAAAAGAACCUUAGCUUCUUUUCACUGAGAGUACAUCUCAGUUGUAAGUCAGGAAAAACAAGCUCGAAACUAUUUCGAGAAGUUCUUCAAACUGCGUCAUGUUGGUCCGUGUUCUUUUAGUUUGUCUUCUCAUUGUCGCUACAGCAGACGCGGAUCCGCGUUGUUGUCUACCCAAACGCGCGGGUUUGUUCGGUGGAGCUCCGACUGUUCGCUUCUACUACAAUAAAUCCCCUAAAGUAAAACAGUGUAAGCCGUUCAUCUUCAAUGGAUACAUUGGCAAUGCAAACAACUUCGAAUCGUUGGAACAAUGUUGGAAGACUUGUGACGGUGCACGUUGCCCCUGAAGAGUUGCUUAUGGAUGAAGACGAGGAUGUCAGCGAAGAACUCCUGGAGAAGUGGAAAAUGAACUUAAAAGAAAGUCUUCAUAACUGAGAACAAUCAUAUUCUCUUGCUGGAAAGGAAACGAAUUCAAAAAAUUAAUUAUAUGAAUAUAAAAUUAAAUUUUCCAAAGAGAUGUUAUAAACGAGUGUAUAAUGUCUCAGUCAGUAGAUUGUCGGUUGGUUGUUGCUAAUAAGACGCUAUCUACUGUCUGAAUAAGAAAGGAAGUAAUUUCUCUUACUCUAAGUAUGUUUGGAUAUCACAUGCUGUAAUUAAUUUCUCCUCGUUUGUUUUCUUUUUACUGUAUU